rnacentral:misc_RNA from 1 species
AAAGUCGUAACAAGGUUUCCGUAGGUGAACCUGCGGAAGGAUCAUUAAUGUUACGGACCGCGGUUUAACACCCGUGGAACCGGUUAACCCCAUGUUGUCUAUCACCUUGUUUCUUUGACGGGUUCAUCCGUCAGAAGAUAUCUCAAACCCUUGAAUCUGUCGUCUGAAUGAAAUAUCAAAUAAAGCAAAACUUUCAACAACGGAUCUCUUGGUUCUG